GCCCCUUUAAGUGGCGGCUUACUCCUCAGACCCUGAGCCCCUGGGGACGCCCCCGGCUGGGUGACCGCAGCGCGCAGCCCCGCGCCUGGCCCACAGCAGUCGCGCAGCCCGGGUCGGCGGAGGCUGACCGGGCGAUUGCGCACGGAGGCCGAACAAGAACUCGGCGCAGAACUUUCCCCCUGGAAGCGGGGCCUCCCACUCGGCGCGGCCAUGCGGAUUCCGGUUGGCUCGGACGCAACCACUGUCAGCUCCUCCCCCUCCUUCUCCGUCUUCACCCUUCCUUUCACUCCCUUUCCCUCGCCCUUUGGUUACGUCAGGCGGACACGCCGAUGAGCCAAUCACGGCGCUGUGUUUAGAGGCCGGCAAGCGGAACCGGUCGGAUUGGACCAAUAGAAGCCCUCGGAUCCGGCGCGCCCCAACCGGGCAGGGGAGCCGGGGCCGAGUGGGCGGUGCUUCUCCGUCAGCAUGUGGGCGGGGACCAGCAACCGCAGAGGCGUCGACGACGGCGGCAGCAACGACGACGUUCCUCAGUCUUCGGGGUAGGCUCGGCGGCGCCGGCAGGGCAACGCGGAGCGGUCGGCGGUGGCCCUAGGGAGGCCGCGGCGCCAUGGCGCGGCGGUAGACGUGCUCAGGCCGGCGAGGCGAGAGGCGGCGGUGUUCAUCCGGUCCGCAGCGCCCUUCGGCAGGGGCCGGGGGUGGGGAAGACCGGGUCGGGGGUUGUCCCGGGCAGCGCGGGGCCGCGGGGCGGGGCUCGCAGGCCGUCGGGGUGCAGGAGGCCUGGGCCGCCGCGAGGAGCCGCCGCAGGCCGCUGGGCCCCGCCGCCGGGCCGCUCGACGACGACGCUCCCGCGGGGGCCCCGCCUGAGCAGGACGCGGCCGCGGCGGCUGCGAGGCCGCGGGAGGCCGCGGAGGAUGGAGGAGCGGAAGGAGGAGGGCGAGGCCGAGAUCCAGGAGCACGGGCCCGAGCACUGGUUCUCCAAGUGGGAGCGGCAGUGCCUGGCCGAGGCCGAGCAGGACGAGCAGUUGCCCCCUGAGCUGCAGGAGGAGGCGGCGGCCGCCGCGCAGCCCGAGCACAAGCAGCAGAAGCUGUGGCACCUCUUCCAGAACUCGGCCACCGCCGUGGCCCAGCUCUACAAAGACCGAGUGUGUCAGCAGCCAGGACUUUCUCUUUGGGUUCCCUUCCAAAAUGCAGCCACUGCCGUCACCAACCUUUACAAAGAAAGCGUGGAUACCCAUCAGCGAAGUUUUGAUAUUGGAAUUCAGAUUGGCUAUCAGCGACGCAAUAAGGAUGUGUUGGCUUGGGUUAAAAAGCGCAGAAGAACUAUUCGUAGAGAAGAUUUGAUCAGCUUCCUGUGUGGAAAAGUUCCUCCACCGCGAAACUCUAGAGCUCCCCCAAGACUGACUGUAGUGUCCCCUAACCGAGCUACUUCAACGGAAACUAGCUCAUCUGUAGAGACUGAUUUGCAACCCUUCCGGGAAGCCAUAGCUCUGCAUGGAGGAACCUUUGCUUGAAAUCAUGUGGAUUUGAAUGCUGACCCCUCCACUCACUAGGUGUGGGAGCCUGGGUUUCUAAGUCCUUCAUGCGUGUGGCCACUCAGCUGUGCUGGUUGACUCCUGUGUAGGAGUUAGUGCUGGAUCACACACUUGAGUGAUGUGAGAGACUGGAACGUGGAAGCUCCAGGCUUGAAAAUGGGCUGAUUUCACCAUGUCCUGGGACAGUUUGAGACCAGAGGGGUAGGUACCAAGCACAAGGUGAAGCUUGCGGUCUGUGUAAUGAUUAGUUUUUAGGGCAAAAGUUUGUCUACAUGUUCGUGAGAUCCUACUUUCAAGAAUGAAGUUGAACGCCUACCUAGGAUGCCACAGGCCAGCAAGUACAGGUGACCUUCCUUUAUGAGUCCUUAAUCCUCGAGUUGGGGAGCCAGGCCUUCAGAACCCAGGGGACUGGGUGCUGGGUGGGCGUGUCCGCUCUGAGUUCAGUGCAGGUCCCGGUUGUGCUUUGUUGCAGCACAGCGGCGCUUGGUAGGGCUGGGGUAGUCCUCUGCUGCGGAUCUGGUGGGUGUGUGCUUUGAGCUACCUGAAGUGUUUAGGGUUCCGAUCGUUCAUGGAGCUGUCAUUGAGAGUGCCAGGAGUCCUAGGCUUUAUCCAGCUGCAGCAGUGAGGAAGGCUCAGCAGGUGUGCAGCCUGAGGAAGAAGGGCUGGGGAUGCUGGGCCAGCCCGCCCCCACUGGUUUCCCUGGGGUGCUUUCAGCCCCUCGGUCCCCGGUGGGCUGCUAAUCCAGAUGACCCCCGUAAGUCCACCAAGGUAUGUGCCACUAUACCUUUGGGAUUUGUGGAAGGAUUCUCAGGCCAUUGGUAUCUGUUCCUUAGGGGUGGUGGUGAUGCUGGGCUGAAAUUCCUGGGGGAGAGGAGAACAUUGAUCAAAUCAUGGAGGAGGCUGAUUGCUUUUUUCACCCAUCUCUUCUGCAGUGAGUCUCACGACCACAAAGGCAGUGUUGAUUUCAAGGUGUAUCUAGAAGUUUGUUAACUACCACGAAGUUCUGAUGUGCUGUUUGGGGCUUCUUGGGUUAACAUAAAUGUCUACAGAACUGUGUUUGCUUACACAAUUAUAUUUGGUACGUUAAGGCUUGUCUCUUGCCCAUCUCAGUGUUUGAGCAUUUGGACUGUGAUCCACAGAAAGAAACACCUUUCUCUUGAAGACCUAGUGUGGACACAUGCACACACACACACCCCACAACUGAAACAAGUUGUAGAGAAUUGUUACCUUUUUGUGUGUGGUGCACUUGACUUUAUGAUUUCUUGCUAUUUCUCUACAUAGUAUGCUGUCUGUGAACUACUACACUGAUUUCCCACCCAGUUUGAAAACCUGGGAGCUCUGGAUAUCAGCGCCUGGCACAAAGUGUAGGAACUUGGACAUUUCUUGAAUGAGUGAGUAGAUAAAGGUGGCUUGAAAUUUUCUAGAUUUUCAUGAAAAGUCCCUCUUUUUCCCUAUGGACCUUCACAGUCUGUCAAGAACCAGGGUAUGGUGGUCAGUGAGGUGAGCGCUGUCUCCUCUCCGAGGUGAGGUGAAGAUGCCUGGGACGACAGCUGCAAGUGGGAAGCACACCCAGGAGCCGCUCAAUAUGGUCACCUCCAUUGUCCACCUGGCUGGAUAAAAUCCCCUUAGAGUGUGAGAAGGAUCUCUCCUGGGUUCUACGCUCGACUCCAGCUCCUUUUGCUAUUUCGUCUCCUCUCCAAUUCCGUGGUUCUCAACUUACCUGCACAUUAGAAUCAGCCAUGGUCAGGUGUACCCCAGACACACUAGAUGAGACUCCUUGGGGUAGGACCCAGGCACUAGCAUUUUUCAAGCUCCUCUAGUGACAGACAACUGUCCAAGGACCUCUGGUGGGUUCUUCAGAGAAUCCAGAGGGGAAUGGUGCUUUGGCCCUUUCCAGAUUGUUUAUUGGGCAGGUGGCCAGUGGCACCGGGCUCUCAGGCCAGCCCUGAGGCUGAGGGCAGCUGGUCCUGUACCCCGCCGCUCCCCUUAACUGCCUGCCCAGCCACCUUCAGUCCCUUAGGCCUUCAGGAAGUCUGGACAUUCUUCUGGGGCAGGCUGUUUUACUGGGCGUGGCAGGGGGAAGUUUGCACCCACAAGGCCCCAGGGCGCUGUGAAUCAUGACUCACCAGGAGUGACCCAGCAGUCUUGCCCCAGGAGGUGACUCUCCUGCACCUGGCGCGACUGUCACCUUGGAAGAGGUUUAAAAAUACAGAUUCCUGGACUCCCCACCUACAUACAGAAUCCAAAGGUCUGGGGUGGGGACAGGGUUUCUGUUUUUAAAAGAAGGCAAAUUAAAAAAUAAAAGUGGGUCCUAAGUCCUACUACCUGGUUACCUCUACAUUUUAAAAAUUUUAUUGGUAACACAUGCACUUGGGAAAAUAGUACAGAAAGGUUCGUGUGUGGAGUUGAGCCUGGGGUUGAGCGGCCUUCUGCCCCUGAGGGAAGCUGGGCCAAGGCCGGGGCUGAUGGGCACAGCAGGAAAUGAAGGACCUUGGUCCCAGAGCGUGCCAGCCAUUGCAUUUACUCAGCUUGGAAUCCUGUUUCAAGGAGCAGUUCCCCGUUGCAGGAAAUCAGGGUGGGAUGCAGACCCCCAGUCUCCCUACCUUGUCAAGAGUUACUGGGUGCACUUUAGAAAGAAUUUCUGUACAUGUACUUAAAUAUACGUAUUCCUGAAAAACGAUACAAAAAGGGUCACAUGCACUCUCAACUGCACUUUUUGUUUUCAGUUAAAAUAAGUUGGAGGGCUUCCCUGGUGGCGCAAUGGUUAAGAAUC